UGUAUGUGUGUAUACGUGUGUCAAAAAAAAAAAUGGACAAAAUGCUGAGAUCGAGUAUUAUAAAAGAAAAUUGAAUUUUUUUUUUUUUUUAUAUUUCUCUCUUAUAACAUAAUGGCAAAGUUUAAAGAAUUAUUUUAAAACUAAUAAUACAUCUUAUAAUACUGAAUAACUUUUAUUGGUUUUAUUUCUUGAUAAAGGAAAAAUCUAAGAUAUUAAGUAUAUAUUUUUGUCCUUAUAUUUCUACGAUUAGGUGGCGCAGUGAUCCAUUCAUUGAUAGACUGUUCAUUGAAUUGACAACAUAUUUUGAGGUUAUAUCAUUCUUGGAUAUAAAGUACAAUUAAAACAAUAUCAUAAAGGAAAGUUUUAUUAGCUGUAUCUUUCCAGAUUCUUAAAGUUAUAAUUUUUUUUUUUUUUAAAGAG